GUUGGCAACACUCACCUCACACAGUGUACACGUGAGACACACCACUAGAGGAGCCAUGUACCUGAAUUAUUACCUAGACGACCAGGGCAAAAGGGUUUACACCCUUGCAAAAACAGAUCCUACUGGAAAACCAUGUUUCUCAGCACACCCUGGUUUUCACCAGAGGAUAAAUAUUCACAGCAUCGAGUAUUGAUCAAGAAAAGGUUUGGACUACUGCUCACCCAGCAACCACCAGUUGCUUACUAGUCCUCAAGGGACUUGUGACCAAAUAGAUUCCACAAGAUCAUCUUCAAAUGUUAUGGGUGUUAUGUGCUACUGACUCACUAAAAUUUGGAGUGUGAUACAUUUGUUUGAAAUUCUCAGUACAGUACAGUAUAAUAUACAGUAUUUACACUAGACAAGCAAGCAUAUUGUAGAAUUGGGUGAAUAUCAUUUUUUUUUUUUUUAGCAGUGUGUAUACAGCUUAUUCAGAUUUUAUUGUUGGGUACUUUUGAAAUAUAUACUGUACUUGUAAAUUGAAAAGAGAGAGAAUGUUGUAAUUUUCUUAGUUACAUAAUAAUGUAAUAUUCUUUGUCACAUGUGCUGCUACCUUCAAUAUUAUAAAUUGUUUUAUUAUA